AUACAAUAUCACCCAAUUUGAAGUCCAGAGAUAGUGGUACUAGUGUAUUUAGUAGUUCUUGGUUAGGUAAAUGGAAUGAAACCCGUAAUGAUAUUAAGCUGAAAAAGGCCCAAAUUGUGUUGAAUUAUAGGAAUAGUAAUGGGGAUACAUCUGGUUCUGACUGUGAAGAAAGUAUUAGCGGUAGUACAAUGGAUAGAAUUGUUGAGAAAUUGAAGAAAUUUGGGUAUGCUGAUGAGGCUACAGAGAAGGAGAAGAGAGAAAAGAGAGUUGUUGAGAAAGGGUCUAUUGAGGAUAUUUUUUUUGUUGAAGAAGGAAUAUUGCCAAAUGUAAGAGGUGGGUUUUCUGAAGAAACUCCAUUUGGGGAUGAGAAUAUAAUUGCCAAAGAUGGUGUGGUUGGAUUUCCAUGGGAAAAGCCAUUGGUGAAGAAAGAGGAGAGUAAUUCAAUGGCUAGUAGGAGUAGGACUCAUUUGGCUGAGCUGACACUUCCUGCUUCUGAGCUUAGAAGGUUGACGAAUUUGGCUCUUAGGAUAAAGAACAAGUCGAGAAUUACCGGUGCUGGUGUUACACAACAAGUUGUAGAAACCAUUCACGAGAAGUGGAAAACAUCUGAGGUUGUCAGGUUGAAAGUUGAAGGUGCUCCUGCACUAAAUAUGAAGAGAAUGCAUGAGAUUCUAGAGAGGAAAACUGGUGGACUGGUGAUUUGGAGAUCUGGCACUUCUGUGGCUCUUUACAGAGGUGUCAGUUACGAGACUCCAUCUGAGCGAAUGAAGAAGAGGAUAAUGAGAAGAGAUGAGAUUCGUCAGAAGAACUCUCCAAUAGUUGAUGGCGAAAGUAAUCAGAAUUCUCGCAAUGAUGUGGAUUCCCUCCGAGAAGACUCUGU
rnacentral:misc_RNA from 1 species